ACCAACCCAUCUCACAGCUGGCAAAUUUCGAUGCAUCAGCAGAUGAUUUGCCUCAUCAUCAAAUCCCCAUUGACAAAUAACCAAUGUAGCGCCAACAUCCUUGCAUUUUUGAACCAUGUCAUCGAAGUACUUCUGUUCCUGUAGUCUCAACGUCUGGAACUUCUCCACUGUAUCAAUAUCAACCUUAUGCUUUGUCUUGGGCUUAGGAGGUUCAAACGGGCAAGUCAAUAUGGCAAUCUUAGCGUCUUCAAUUUGCUUUGGCAUCUGAGGGUGACUCAUGUCCUUGUCAACAAUAAUACCAUAUACAAGUUCAGUAUCUUCUAAUUUUCCCCCUACUUUCCCCUCCACUUUUAUCAGGUCUAAGUUAACGUCCCUUCUUUCAAGAUCUGCCACAGCAACAACUGCUUUAACAGCAAUUUCUGCUAGACUACGCUUACAUCGAUUCACAAUCUUUGAUGAUAAAGUGGUCAUGCAAGUUUGAAUCAAAGGCUCUAAGUUUGUCUCUCCAAAAUCAAACUUUUGUGCAAUAUGCUCCAGAUGGUCGACGGCUAUCCUGGAGGCCAGCUCAUAACCCUCUGCAAUUCGAAUGGGAUGAAUUCCUCGUUCUAAUAAUCGCUCAGCCUGCUCUAAGAGUGCACCAGCCAUUACAACCACCCCAGUGGUGCCAUCACCAAUUUCA
rnacentral:misc_RNA from 1 species